GAUCAGCCCCCAGUUAGAUCAUUUAUUUAUCUGGCACCAAAGGGUGAUAAUGGCUUGUUUUCAAGUCUCCAAAAUAAAUGAACUAUACUGCAUGCAGAAGUAGUCCAGGCUAGCCAGCAGAGGAGAGAAAAUAUGCAGGGUCAGCAUAACACUGGUUUGAAUUUCAGUUACAAAAACAUUAGAGCUCUCAUUUAAAACAAGAUGAGGAAACUAGGUUCUCUCUCCACUCUAAAAGCACUGGUCUUGGUCUCUCCAGAACACUGAUAAAACCCACCUCAGAUACAGUUUAGCAAAACAAUUCAGAGGUAAUGGUUUCCUGCUGCUGUUUACACACUAAGAUUUUUUUAAAUGCAUCUUCAGUCUAUUCCUUAGGGCUAAUUUUUUUUUUUACCUCCUACCCUUUUCUGCCUUGCUACAUGAGUAGCAGCUAUUGACAGACAAUUUCAGUCUUGCAAGGAAAGUAGGUCUUGGUCCACUCCCAGAGCACCUCAGGCCCCCAGAUUAGUUGGUCUUCACAUAACACUGCAAAAAGAGACUGCUAGUCAAGCCUAAAGCGUCAAGCCAUCCAGGUGUGCUAAAGCAGCUAGUUUAAUAUCCUGCAUAGAUGGGAGCCCUGGAAAGCAAGUCCUCCCCAACUCUAACCAGGUUUUAAGGGUUUUAUUAGUUGUCCACAUUGCGGAGAUCAACUUCCUAUCACCUAGAUAUUGAGGUUCAUGUUCAAGCAGACUACGUGCCAGCAAGAGCCAAACCAAGGUCAGAAGCAGCUCCUAAGCCAAACCAAAUCAUUACCCAAUGAAAGCUGUGCAUCCUGAUGCUUGCCACAGUCCCUCGCCAAGAGCAAGUUUGAUGAGAAAACCUGGCUGCUUCUCCCGAGUUGUUAUAAUGCAGUAUGCCAGCCACAGUCUAAAUGGCUUUACAGCACUUGUUGGAAAUACCAGCACUAAGGGGGUUUAGUUAAGCUACUGUUUGCCAGUUUCCCUAAGAUCGCAGUUCACAGCACACAAACCACUGACUUGGACACUGCAGUCUUGUGAAUCCACUGCAGAGAUGCCUAAAGUUCAGCUUUGAACUUGAGGCAAAUUCAGUCUCUGGCAACUCUGCUGGAGGUUGAGAUUUAAUAGCAUGAACUGAGCUCUUUCUCAUGCAGAGUAUCUUAUUCCACUCAGAGGAGUGGACUGUGAUGCACAAGUGUAACAGAAUAACCAGUUUAUUCAAGAUAGAAAUAACUAUUCAGUGCUAGGAUUCAAGAGACCCUUAUAUUCCCAGCUGGAAGACAUAAUAUCAUUUACCAGGGGAAGUUUUGGGUGGUUACUCUGAGUACAGGGCUGUGACCCAAACACAAGAUGUGUGGGUAACUGAUAAGCUGCUGACCAUGAAACUGUCACCUGACCAGCAGCAGCUUACCAAAAGCACAGCCAGUCCUUAGUUCACAGCACAGAGCUCUACACCUUAACAGUGUCUGCUUCCAGGCUUGCGUUUCUAGGCCAUCCAGGAUCUCCUGCCUGGAAGGAAUGAAGCUCUCACUUCCAACAGCAGCUGCCACUACCUUUGACAGACACAGGAACUCAGAGGUUUUUGGAUGCCUCAGAGACUGCUGGAUGCAGUUUUAGGAGCUUAAGGAAGGGAAAAAAAAUCAGGCCUGUUAAACAUUUCAUCAAUCCAGUGUAAUCACUGAACAAACCAAGCAAGGAAGACCUUAUAUUCUACUGGCAUGGGGGAAGGCGGCAUACAAGCUAUGUCAGUGCAAGCACAUCAGCAACCACUCCUGCCAGAUAUUUACAAAAAAAGCUUGACUUCUAGAGAAACAGCUCUUUCUUUGAGCUCAAGUGCCUGCUCAAGCCAUAUUUCAUUAAAUAUUUCAGUAGCACCGCCUGAUCAAGGCAGCGGAACAUGACGCAGAUCAUACUGGAGCAGUUUUUACAGAGCAGUAAGGAUAUAAUAGUGCAAUUUCUGCUCAUGAAUCCUCAUAACAUUGCACUUAUCUGCCUGUGCUCUGCACCGAUAGUGCUGCCUGUCCCUAAACUCGGCGGCGACGUGGCGUGGAGCCCCUCUCCCCUGCCCGAAAAAGUUGUGCCAAGUACAGCUCCAACCGUGACAGCUUCGACACUGCUGGAACGGACGCCCUUCUCUACCUGAGGUGCUGCAAAAGCGUCGGCCCGCAACUGUCAAAAUUGUCCUUCGUCAUGAGGAAAAAAUCACAGAAUCAUGGAAUCGUUUAGGUUUGGCCACACGGGAGGUGCCAUCCUGCCUCCCCACCUCGCCUCUGCUGUGCUACGCCUGCCGGAGUCCGGGAGCCUCCUCUCUGCACAACCAGCCCAGUGCUUUAAUGGGGUGUACCGUGCCAGGCAACCAUUGCCUGCUCUGUGCAAGGCUGCAAUUAGCAUUCGUCACGUCUAUGAUACACAACACUCAACGUACAAUGCACGGUGACCCCCAGGAAAUUAAAAUUCUUUGGUCCUGAUCGCAGCCGUAGUCCUGCUGCAUUGUCAGCACCCCUGCAAACUUGCCAUAAAAGACCACUUUUUUUUUUAGGACAGCCGUGUGGUUUUUUGUUCCCAAUUACUUGUGUCUUCUAGCCUUAAUUGUGCUGACUGCGUUGGGCAGGGUAGCAUAAUACUUAAUUUUCAUUACUCACAUAAACUGGGGAUGCAUAAAGUAGUGUGUGAGCCACAUGUAAAAAUGCACAUUACGUUGCCUAAGCGUAGUUGUUUUCUGUUCCUUGACACGCCGUUAACUAUAUAUUCCAAACCAAUUUUUUUUUUAUUAUGAACUUCUUUCUCUGCAGCUCAUGAAUAAAUAAACCACGAAGCAUACCAGACUCAAGAAAAAGGAAAACCACAGAAGGCAAAAUGGAAGAACUGUACACAUCUACGCGCUAUUAAAAAGCAGUAUGAAUCUUGAGUCUAACAAAAACACUGCAAUUGCAAGCCCUAAAGAAGCAAACCAAAAAAAGAGGCAUUAAUCUUUUAUUCUAGAAUGCUAUUAUCAAUAUGUAUUUAUUUUUAGGCUAAUUCAGACCAAGGACUGAAAAGCGUGCAUGACCACAGUCAUGCACAACUCACUAAAUUAACCAUCCUCUGGUGAGGAUUCCCGAAGUCUGUUCAAAGAAUGAUGGGGGUUUUGACAUACUACUGAUAUUUAUAAACAUUGUAAUGGCAUUGCUAGCUUUUUGGGGAAAAAAAAAAAAAGUGGCAAAAGAAUUCUCUUAAUUAGCCAAAUGGUAAAAAUAAAGCCCUCAUACUGAUGACAGCCCUACUCUUCCUAGUAAAACAACAUCCAUUGUAUCACAACUGAAUGCAUGCGGUAUAGCUUAAUAAAACGUUAAAGUUUAUUCCACAGAAGAAACAAAAUAUACCUGCAUUUAUAGUAGUAGAAAUGUCUAAUGACUUGUGGCAAGAGAAAAGACUUCAGUGACUUUAGUGGAAAUUGUAUGAGACCCUAACACAAAUGAAAACACCAAGAAGGGAUCUCAGGAUGUGGGUGUAGUUACAGCUUCUGAGAUGUGCUUCUUGUUAUUCAUAGAUUUGUGGCAGCCUGGGCUACCUGAUGCUUUGACACCUCGCUUUAAAACAGCUGAAGAAAAUUACUUCUUUUUUUUCUUUGUCCUUUUGUUGCCUGCUGUUGUGGCAAAGUGUGGUCCUUACCUCAGCCUGACGUUUUAGACCUGUUCUGGCAGUGUCCAGACAUGUCCAGACGUGUCCAGAUAUUUCUCCAUUGUAUUUCCUCAUGUGCUUUUUUUGCUUGAGAGUUGUUAACUGUCAGCCCUUAGCUGAGCCUGGAGUCAAAGAGGGUAAUUUUCUGUAAAACAGUCUAUGUUUCAAAAAUCCAAAUUUUUAUAACGAGAAUGAGGAGGUGGAAAAAAAAAGAAAUCCAAGGAAGCAGACCCACCUUUUCCCUCUGAGGUUCUUACUCAACUCCAAAUAUUUAAUCCAUAAUAAAUAAACGCAUCCUCAAGUCUUGGCAGGGGAGAAA